rnacentral:rRNA from 1 species
GAACGACCGCUGGCGGCCUGCCUACCACACGCAAGUCGAACGAGACCUUCGGGUCUAGUGGCGCACGGGUGCGUAACGCGUGGGAACCUGCCCUUAGGUUCGGAAUAACUCCCCGAAAGGGGUGCUAAUACCGGAUAAUGUCUUCGGACCAAAGAUUUAUCGCCUUUGGAUGGGCCCGCGUUGGAUUAGCUAGUUGGUAGGGUAAAAGCCUACCAAGGCGACGAUCCAUAGCUGGUCUGAGAGGAUGAUCAGCCACACUGGGACUGAGACACGGCCCAGACUCCUACGGGAGGCAGCAGUGGGGAAUAUUGGACAAUGGGCGAAAGCCUGAUCCAGCAAUGCCGCGUGAGUGAUGAAGGCCUUAGGGUUGUAAAGCUCUUUUACCCGGGAUGAUAAUGACAGUACCGGGAGAAUAAGCUCCGGCUAACUCCGUG